CUGAGGUAGAAGUAGAAGAGAAGCUGAUAUCCAAGGUUCCUGAAUAAACUGCUUGAAGAAGAGUCGUAGUUGUGUUUCUCUUGCUGGUCAAGAUAGAUGCAACAAGUGGUGGCCCAUACUGGGAACCUCCGCGAUUGAACGGCUCAGAACUUCCUUUAGUCAGGGAAGUCGACUGGUAAGUCCCAGGUUCCACUUCCUUCUGAGAGACAUGACUUCUUCUGGAGGCUGGCACACAGCAGCAGAGUCGUCUCAGACAAUUUCCAAUUCUCUUCUUCACCCUCUUACAAGCUCGGGAUAGAUGGCUGUCAGAGGCUGCAGUUACACCUCAAGGAGGAACAACUUCAAAGCUGUUCUUUGAGGUAGCCAGAAAGGAAGGUCUCUGGAUUUCAGGGAUUUCUUCAGGAGGAACAUCGUUAAAGAUGUUACUGAAUGUUUCCUUCAGUAAAGAUCUUUCCUUCAGUAAAGAUCUUUCCUCGGAAAGAUCUCGGGAUAUCAAUAUGUCUUUAGAUAGGACAUCAUCAAAGCUGUUACAUCUCUAUUUAAGGUAUGCCUUCAAGGAGGACAUUGUCAA
rnacentral:lncRNA from 1 species